rnacentral:misc_RNA from 1 species
GAUGAAGAACGCAGCGAAAUGCGAUACGUAGUGUGAAUUGCAGAAUUCAGUGAAUCAUCGAAUCUUUGAACGCACAUUGCACCUCUCGGUAUUCCGGGAGGUAUGCCUGUUCGAGCGUCAUUUGUACCCUCAAGCUCUGCUUGGUGUUGGGUGUUUGUUCCGCCUCUGUGUGUGAACUCGCCUCAAAAGAAUUGGCAGCCAGCGUAUUAGUCUUGGAGCGCAGCACAUUUUGCGAUCUAGCUAGUAAAUUGGCAACCAUCAAGCCUAUUUUAACACUUGACCUCGGAUCAGGUAGGGAUACCCGCUGAACUUAAGCAUAUCAAUAAGCGGAGGA